CCUACGGGGGGCAGCAGUGAGGAAUAUUGGUCAAUGGUCGGGAGACUGAACCAGCCAAGCCGCGUGAGGGAGGAAGGUACAGAGUAUCGUAAACCUCUGUUGUCAGGGAACAAAGGCGGGGACGUGUCCCCGGAUGGGUGGACCCGGAGAAAAAGCAUCGGCUAACUCCGUGCCAGCAGCGGCGGUAAUCCGGAGGAUGCGAGCGUUGUCCGGAUUUAUUGGGUUUAAGGGGUGCGCAGGCGGAAUGUAAAGUCAGAGGUAAAAGUGAGAGGCUCAACCUCUUCGAGCCGUUGAAACUGGGUUUCUUGAGUGAGCGAGAAGUAUGCGGAAUGCGUGGUGUAGCAGUGAAAUGCAUAGAUAUCACGAAGAACUCCGAUUGCGAAGGCAGCAUACCGGCGCUCAACUGACGCUCAUGCACGAAAGUGUGGGUAGCGAACAGGAUUAGAUACCCUGGUAGUC
rnacentral:rRNA from 1 species